rnacentral:rRNA from 1 species
UACGGAGGGUGCAAGCGUUAUCCGGAUUCACUGGGUUUAAAGGGUGCGUAGGUGGCUUUGUAAGUCAGUGGUGAAAUCUUAGAGCUUAACUCUAAAACUGCCAUUUGAUACUGCUUAGCUUGAAUCAAGUAGAGGUGGAUGGAAUAAUACAUGUAGCGGUGAAAUGCUUAGAUAUGUAUUAGAACACCGAUUGCGAAGGCAGUUCACUAUGCUUGUAUUGACACUGAGGCACGAAAGCGUGGGGAUCAAACAGG